GAAGAACUUACCCGGGCUUGACAUGUUAUUGGAUGCCCCGAGAAAGGGGGGUGGCCUUCGGAAGGCUGUCACACAGGUGCUGCAUGGCUGUCGUCAGCUCGUGUCGUGAGAGUGUUGGGUUAAGUCCCGCAACGAGCGCAACCCCUGUGGCUAGUUACCAUCCGUAAGGAGGCACUCUAGCCAGACUGCCUGUGAAAAACAGGAGGAAGGUGGGGAGGACGUCAAAUCAGUAUGGUCCUUAUGUCCAGGGGUGCACACGUGCUACAAUGAUCAGUACAGAAGGAAGCAAGACCGCGAGGUGGAGCCAAUCCCCAAAACUGAUCACAGUUCGGAUUGGAGUCUGAAACUCGACUCCAUGAAGUUGGAAUCGCUAGUAAUGGCGCAUCAUCUACGGCGCCGUGAAUAACGUUCCCGGGCCUUGUACACACCGCCCGUCACAUCACGAAAGCCGAUUGCACCCGAAGUGGCUGAUUCUACCCGCAAGGGGGAUAGGUCCCGAAGGUGUGGUUGGUGAUUGGGAUG
rnacentral:rRNA from 1 species